rnacentral:rRNA from 1 species
AGGAGUGGAGCCUGCGGCUUAAUUUGACUCAACACGGGAAACCUCACCAGGCCCGGACACCGGAAGGAUUGACAGAUUGAGAGCUCUUUCUUGAUUCGGUGGGUGGUGGUGCAUGGCCGUUCUUAGUUGGUGGAGCGAUUUGUCUGGUUAAUUCCGAUAACGAACGAGACUCUAGCCUGCUAACUAGGCGUAUUUCGACAUCCCAAAGGCCCGCCGGUCUGGGGUUCCGACCCCUUUCCGCGCGCGGUUUUUACUGUCGGCGUACAAACAAUUCUUCUUAGAGGGACAGGCGGCUUCUAGCCGCACGAGAUUGAGCAAUAACAGGUCUGUGAUGCCCUUAGAUGUUCUGGGCCG